GACGUAGGGCGCGAGCGUUGUCCGGAUUUAUUGGGCGUAAAGAGCUCGUAGGCGGCUUGUCGCGUCGUUCGUGAAAACCCACGGCUCAACUGUGGGCUUGCGGGCGAUACGGGCAGGCUAGAGUUCGGUAGGGGAGACUGGAAUUCCUGGUGUAGCGGUGAAAUGCGCAGAUAUCAGGAGGAACACCGGUGGCGAAGGCGGCAUCCUGGACCGAUACUGACGCUGAGGAGCGAAAGCCAGGGGAGCAAACGGG
rnacentral:rRNA from 1 species